rnacentral:sRNA from 1 species
GAGACAGUCCUGGAAUCCAGUCCUAUCUGUUAAAUACAUAGUUACACUACAGGCAAUGAAAAUAUAUGAUUUCCAAUGUGCCCAACCCAUUUGGAGGGACCACCUAAGGGCGAGAGUGUAGUUUAGUCUCCAUAGCAUUCAAUCCUUAGCCUCU